GACGGAGGAUGCAAGCGUUGUCCGGAAUUAUUGGGCGUAAAGAGCGCGCAGGCGGUCUAUCAAGUCAGAUGUGAAAUAUCCCGGCUUAACCGGGAGGGGUCAUUUGAAACUGGUAGACUAGAGUACAGCAGAGGAUAGCGGAAUUCCCGGUGUAGUGGUGAAAUGCGUAGAUAUCGGGAGGAACACCAGUGGCGAAGGCGGCUAUCUGGGCUGAAACUGACGCUGAGGCGCGAAGGCUAGGGGAGCAAACAGG
rnacentral:rRNA from 1 species